UACGUAGGGGGCAAGCGUUAUCCGGAUUUACUGGGUGUAAAGGGAGCGUAGGCGGCUUAGUAAGUCAGAAGUGAAAGCCCGGGGCUCAACUCCGGGACUGCUUUUGAAACUGUGUUGCUAGAUUGCAGGAGAGGUAAGUGGAAUUCCUAGUGUAGCGGUGAAAUGCGUAGAUAUAACUUAGAACACCGAUAGCGAAGGCAGCUUACCAGACUGAGUCUGACGCUGAUGCACGAGAGCAUGGGUAGCGAACAGG
rnacentral:rRNA from 1 species